AGCGAACGCUGGCGGCAGGCCUAACACAUGCAAGUCGAACGGAUCCUUCGGGAUUAGUGGCGGACGGGUGAGUAACACGUGGGAACGUGCCCUUUGGUUCGGAACAACUCAGGGAAACUUGAGCUAAUACCGGAUGUGCCCUUCGGGGGAAAGAUUUAUCGCCAUUGGAGCGGCCCGCGUAGGAUUAGCUAGUUGGUGGGGUAAAGGCCCACCAAGGCUACGAUCCUUAGCUGGUCUGAGAGGAUGAUCAGCCACAUUGGGACUGAGACACGGCCCAAACUCCUACGGGAGGCAGCAGUGGGGAAUCUUGCGCAAUGGGCGAAAGCCUGACGCAGCCAUGCCGCGUGAAUGAUGAAGGUCUUUGGAUUGUAAAAUUCUUUCACCGGGGACGAUAAUGACGGUACCCGGAGAAGAAGCCCCGGCUAACUUCGUGCCAGCCGCCGCAGUAA
rnacentral:rRNA from 1 species